GAUGAGAACGUAGCGAAAUGCGAUACGUAAUGUGAAUUGCAGAAUUCAGUGAAUCAUCGAGUCUUUGAACGCACAUUGCGCCCCCUGGUAUUCCGGGGGGCAUGCCUGUCCGAGCGUCAUUGCUGCCCUCAAGCACGGCUUGUGUGUUGGGCCUCCGCCCUCCUCCCGGGGGACGGGCCCGAAAGGCAGCGGCGGCACCGCGUCCGGUCCUCGAGCGUAUGGGGCUUCGUCACCCGCUCUUGUAGGCCCGGCCGGCGCUUGCCGACACAUCAAUCUUUUUUCCAGGUUGACCUCGGAUCAGGUAUGGAUACCCGCUGAACUUAAGCAUAUCAAUAAGCGGAGG
rnacentral:misc_RNA from 1 species